AACUUAAAUGAAUUGACGGGGGCCCGCACAAGCGGUGGAGCAUGUGGUUUAAUUCGACGCAACGCGAAGAACCUUACCAGGGCUUGACAUCCCCUGACCGCGUAUGAAAGUACGUUUUCACCCUCGGGUGACAGGGAGACAGGUGGUGCAUGGUUGUCGUCAGCUCGUGUCGUGAGAUGUUGGGUUAAGUCCCGCAACGAGCGCAACCCCUACGUUUAGUUGCUAACGCGUGAAGGCGAGCACUCUAGACGAACUGCCGUUGACAAAACGGAGGAAGGUGGGGAUGACGUCAAAUCAUCAUGCCCCUUAUGUUCUGGGCUACACACGUGCUACAAUGGCCG
rnacentral:rRNA from 1 species